CACGUAGGGGGGCAAGCGUUGUCCGGAUUUAUUGGGCGUAAAGAGCUCGUAGGCGGUUCGGUAAGUCAGGUGUGAAACCUCCAGGCUCAACCUGGAGACGCCACCUGAUACUGCUGUGACUCGAGUCCGGUAGGGGAGCGUGGAAUUCCUGGUGUAGCGGUGAAAUGCGCAGAUAUCAGGAGGAACACCAGCGGCGAAGGCGGCGCUCUGGGCCGGAACUGACGCUGAGGAGCGAAAGCGUGGGUAGCAAACAGG
rnacentral:rRNA from 1 species